rnacentral:SRP_RNA from 1 species
GCCGGGCGUGGUGGCGGGUGCCUGUAGUCCCAGCUACUUGGGAGGCUGAGGCAGGAGACUCACUUGAGCCCAGGAGGUGGAGGUUGCAGUGAGCCGAGAUCACACCACUGCACUCCAGCCUGGGCAACAGAGUGAGACUCCAUCUCAA